GUUUGAUCAUGGCUCAGAACGUACGCUGGCGGCACGCCUAACACAUGCAAGUCGAACGCAGUAGCAAUACUGAGUGGCAAACGGGUGAGUAUAAUGUGGGAAUCUGCCUUUUGGUUCGGAAUAACACGAGGAAACUUGUGCUAAUACCGGAUAAGCCCUUACGGGGAAAGUUUUAAUGCCAAAAGAUGAGCCCGCACUUGAUUAGCUAGUUGGUAAGGUAAUGGCUUACCAAGGCAACGAUCAAUAGCUGUUCUUAGAGGAAGACCAGCCACAUUGGGACUGAGACACGGCCCAAACUCCUACGGGAGGCAGCAGUGGGGAAUCUUGCACAAUGGAGGAAACUCUGAUGCAGCGAUGCCGCGUGAGUGAAGAAGGCCCUUGGGUUGUAAAGCUCUUUCGUCGGGGAAGAAAAUGACUGUACCCGAAUAAGAAGGUCCGGCUAACUUCGUGCCAGCAGCCGCGGUAAUACGAAGGGACCUAGCGUAGUUCGGAAUUACUGGGCUUAAAGAGUUCGUAGGUGGUUGAAAAAGUUGGUGGUGAAAUCCCAGAGCUUAACUCUGGAACUGCCAUCAAAACUUUUCAGCUAGAGUAUGAUAGAGGAAAGCAGAAUUUCUAGUGUAGAGGUGAAAUUCGUAGAUAUUAGAAAGAAUACCAAUUGCGAAGGCAGCUUUCUGGAUCAUUACUGACACUGAGGAACGAAAGCAUGGGUAGCGAAGAGGAUUAGAUACCCUCGUAGUCCAUGCCGUAAACGAUGUGUGUUAGACGUUGGAAAUUUAUUUUCAGUGUCGCAGCGAAAGCGAUAAACACACCGCCUGGGGAGUACGACCGCAAGGUUAAAACUCAAAUGAAUUGACGGGGACCCGCACAAGCGGUGGAGCAUGUGGUUUAAUUCGAAGCAACGCGCAGAACCUUA
rnacentral:rRNA from 1 species